rnacentral:rRNA from 1 species
UACGUAGGUGGCAAGCGUUGUCCGGAAUUAUUGGGCGUAAAGCGCGCGCAGGCGGUCCCGUAAGUCUGAUGUGAAAGCCCACGGCUCAACCGUGGAGGGUCAUUGGAAACUGGGGGACUUGAGUACAGAAGAGGAAAGCGGAAUUCCACGUGUAGCGGUGAAAUGCGUAGAGAUGUGGAGGAACACCAGUGGCGAAGGCGGCUUUCUGGUCUGUAACUGACGCUGAGGCGCGAAAGCGUGGGGAGCAAACAGG